GGGGUGCUGCGGGGAAGGCGGGGGACCCGGGACUUCCAAGUGUCCAAAAACAAUCCAUUGAUACACUUGGUGACAUUAAUUGAGAAAAAAACAAUAUGGUCUGGCCAUGGAGGCAUGGUAUCCGUAACAUCCCCCAAAGGAGCUAAAGAAGAAAUCCACAAUUUACCAUGAGCAUUUCUCGUCUGAAGAUUGCCAAGCGAUUCCUCCAGGACAUUCCUCAAGAUCAAUUUCUGUUCAUCCACCUUGUCCUGGGAGGGACAUCAAUGGGUUUCCAUGUCCUUUGGCUUCUGGUUGAGUUCACUCAGUGGAGAACCCUGGCAAGAGGCAGGAAAAGGGGAGGAAGGUGAAAACCAUCCAUUUCUUGGAGAAGUGCCACGGUGGGGUUGCAAGUCCCAGGAUCAAGUUUUCGAUGUGUCUCUUUUUCCCGUAAAGUGGCUGAAAUCUGAAGCUGAAUCUGCAAGUGUCAUGGAGUCAUUGAAUCUCACAGUCUCAACUGAUAAAAGUUAUUAAAGGUCGUCUG
rnacentral:lncRNA from 10 species